CACUCAUACGGGAGGCAGCAGUGGGGAAUUUUGGACAAUGGGCGAAAGCCUGAUCCAGCCAUGCCGCGUGCAGGAUGAAGGCCUUCGGGUUGUAAACUGCUUUUGUACGGAACGAAACGGCCUUUUCUAAUAAAGAGGGCUAAUGACGGUACCGUAAGAAUAAGCACCGGCUAACUACGUGCCAGCAGCCGCGGUAAUACGUAGGGUGCAAGCGUUAAUCGGAAUUACUGGGCGUAAAGCGUGCGCAGGCGGUUAUGUAAGACAGUUGUGAAAUCCCCGGGCUCAACCUGGGAACUGCAUCUGUGACUGCAUAGCUAGAGUACGGUAGAGGGGGAUGGAAUUCCGCGUGUAGCAGUGAAAUGCGUAGAUAUGCGGAGGAACACCGAUGGCGAAGGCAAUCCCCUGGACCUGUACUGACGCUCAUGCACGAAAGCGUGGGGAGCAAACAGGAUUAGAAACCCCUGUAGUCC
rnacentral:rRNA from 1 species